rnacentral:lncRNA from 1 species
UCAAAUAACACAACAAUUAGCCUCGAGUUCUCAAGCACAAGGUGCUCUACCUAGUGCAACUGUGAAAAAUCCUAGAGAGCAUAGUAAUGCGAGCGUUGUGACAACAAGAAGUGGUAAAUCUGAUGAAGUAGUUGAGGAGAUGGAUGAAGAGGAAGAUCAAUUGAUCGAAGUGGAUCUUGAGAUCAAAGAAAAUGAAGCUGUAAGGGAAGAAUUAG